rnacentral:rRNA from 1 species
AAUAGGCCCAAGCGACUGUUUAUCAAAAACACAGGUCUCUGCUAAACCGUAAGGUGAUGUAUAGGGGCUGACGCCUGCCCGGUGCUGGAAGGUUAAGAGGAGUGGUUAGCUUCUGCGAAGCUACGAAUCGAAGCCCCAGUAAACGGCGGCCGUAACUAUAACGGUCCUAAGGUAGCGAAAUUCCUUGUCGGGUAAGUUCCGACCCGCACGAAAGGCGUAACGAUUUGGGCACUGUCUCAACGAGAGACUCGGUGAAAUCAUAGUACCUGUGAAGAUGCAGGUUACCCGCGACAGGACGGAAAGACCCCGUGGAGCUUUACUGUA